AACGCUGGCGGCGUGCCUAAUACAUGCAAGUCGAGCGAACGGACGAGAAGCUUGCUUCUCUGAUGUUAGCGGCGGACGGGUGAGUAACACGUGGAUAACCUACCUAUAAGACUGGGAUAACUUCGGGAAACCGGAGCUAAUACCGGAUGAUAUUUUGAACCGCAUGGUUCAAAAGUGAAAGACGGUCUUGCUGUCACUUAUAGAUGGAUCCGCGCUGCAUUAGCUAGUUGGUAAGGUAACGGCUUACCAAGGCAACGAUGCAUAGCCGACCUGAGAGAGUGAUCGGCCACACUGGAACUGAGACACGGUCCAGACUCCUACGGGAGGCAGCAGUAGGGAAUCUUCCGCAAUGGGCGAAAGCCUGACGGAGCAACGCCGCGUGAGUGAUGAAGGUCUUCGGAUCGUAAAACUCUGUUAUUAGGGAAGAACAUAUGUGUAAGUAACUGUGCACAUCUUGACGGUACCUAAUCAGAAAGCCACGGCUAACUACGUG
rnacentral:rRNA from 1 species